GGCCCUAGCUUGCUAGGUGUCCUUAGUGGCGCACGGGUGAGUAACGCGUGGGAACCUGCCCAGAAGCGGGGAACAACCAUUGGAAACGAUGGCUAAUACCGCAUACGCCCUCCGGGGGAAAGGCUUCGGCCACUUUUGGAUGGUCCCGCGUCUGAUUAGCUUGUUGGUAAGGUAACGGCUUACCAAGGCGACGAUCAGUAGCUGGUCUGAGAGGAUGAUCAGCCACACUGGGACUGAGACACGGCCCAGACUCCUACGGGAGGCAGCAGUGGGGAAUAUUGGACAAUGGGGGAAACCCUGAUCCAGCAAUGCCGCGUGAGUGAAGAAGGCCCUAGGGUUGUAAAACUCUUUCAACUGUGAAGAUGAUGACGGUAGCAGUAGAAGAAGCUCCGGCUAACUCCGUGCCAGCAGCCGCGGUAAUACGGAGGGAGCUAGCGUUGUUCGGAAUUACUGGGCGUAAAGAGCACGUAGGUGGCGAAGAUAGUCAGUGGUGAAAGGCCUGGGCUCAACCCAGGAACUGCCAUUGAUACUGCUUUGCUAGAGUCCGGGAGAGGAUAGCGGAAUUUCCAGUGUAGAGGUGAAAUUCGUAGAUAUUGGAAAGAACACCAGUUGCGAAGGCGGCUAUCUGGACCGGUACUGACACUGAGGUGCGAAAGCGUGGGGAGCGAACAGGAUUAGAUACCCUGGUAGUCCACGCCGUU
rnacentral:rRNA from 1 species